UAAGGGAACACACGAGACGAUGCCUUAGGGUAAAGCGCGGGGUCACAUGUGAAGCCAACCCGCUCUGAGGACGAAGGCUGGGCCGACCUUACCACUGAAUAAGCUAGGUCAUCCUCGGCACAAGUAGCGAGCGUUCCAGCAGCAUGGAAGUGUAGGAAGCAGCUGGAGGAAGUAUGGGGGGAGCGAGAUGCUUCUUCGGAUACCCACAGGACCCUCCUAUCGACACUCCUUUGGUCAGUUGAGGCAAGACUAAAGAAAUCCUGAUCUACAGCCCCACCAAUCGCAUUUGAGAAAUAAGUUUGGACAGACGGGGUUUACACGAUGACCCUGAACGCUCCUCCCAAGCGUUGGAAAAAAACAACAACAACGCGCUGGCACUCUCCUUGAGCUACCAAAGACGGCUUAAGGUAUGGAAGGUGAUUAGUUAAUAAUAGUUGGAAAUAACAGUUGCAGAAUACAUUAAGAACAGAAAGAAAAGUCGCCCGUUAUCUGCUUGUAAAUGCAUAUCUUCCAAGAAACAUCUCAUAAGCUAGACCAUUUCAUUAACUGUAUUUAUGUGUGAUGAAGAUCAUUCAUUCUUCCCGGAGAAGUACGACUCACUACAAAGAGAAACGGACAAAGGGAAAGUUACCAGAGAAUGAAGUAAAGAAACAACACUGGGAUUUUGAAAUUCAUUUUCCUAGUGCAUCGAGUAAACGAAAAACAAAUACGCAACAGGAGAUUUGACUUAGAAUAAACGGUAUUGCUAGUAGACGUGUUCUGGCGAAGCGAAAGUAACGUAGCUGAGAAAAACAAGUGAAAGUUGACAAGACCAAAACAAUAAUAAAAAAAAAAAAAAAAAAUGUUAGCAUUCGAAACACAGGAGGGAAGAACACAUUGCUAUAUCAGUAUUAUGCCGACAGUCAUAGGGUGUAACUGGAACAAGGAAGAAUCAAGCAAAAACAAAAAGUAAACUUAUUAAUCACAGAUCAAAAAAGGAAGUUAAAAUGUAUAAAGACAUAGUAACAAAGUUUAUUCAAAAGUUAUAACAUUUUUAACAAAAAUAAUUCCAGGUUUAGAGUCAAGGAAAUUAAGGCUAUAAGAAAAAAAGAAAAAAAAGAAAAGAAAGGAAAAGAAAAGGAAAGAAAAGAAAAGAAAAAGAAAGAAAAAUAAAAUAAAAUAAAAUAAAAGAAAGAAAACAUAUAUAUAACAAUUGUGGCUUUGAUGAUUUUUUUUGUAAAUAUACUAGUAAUUUUUUUGCAGUCCAAACCACUCAUUUCAUCAUGAUCUGGCAUUUCUAAACAAGGAUGAUUGGAUCGUUACAGUUUCAUGAUAAUGAUAAAAAUGACAACAAAAAUCAACCACAGCAACAGUCAUAAGAAAAUAACAGACAAAAACUGAAAAAAACACAAAGCCAUAUCUCACGCCUUUCCCCUCUCUCUGUCUGUCUCUCUCCUUCCUUCUCUCUCUCUCCUUUUCUCCUCCUCACCCCCCUUCUCUCUGAAUAGUCAGACGCCUCUAAGGUCUAAAAGGAGUAACUAAUCUGGACGGCGUGCCCGUGGCAGCGCCCCUGUGCACAUGACCUCUGACCUUCUCCUUCUCCACACCAAUUCACAGUCCAGCUCGGACACCUGCCUCCUCCUAGGGGUCACCACUCCAAGCCGUUCGUGUCCAGCACAGUUUUGCACAAAGGGGCCACCCACUAACUGUUCAGCCUCCGCCUCACGCUACUAUCUUCAGUAAAGACCGCAACCAG